rnacentral:lncRNA from 1 species
CCAACUCUCUCCGAGCUUUGGAGAGGUCUUGUUGCGUCUUCUGUAGGGCCUUAAACUGAACAUACCAGUCCUCGCUCAGUUUCUUGUUAGUCUCUGAAAGAGUAGACAUAUCCACAAUUUUAUGGUGAUAAGCAUCGUCUAACUCUUGGUAUUUGCGUUUAAGCUUCUUUAACUCAUCUUCCAACGAAUGAUUAUUGCGGAGGCGAGACAUUGAGGAAAGGCGACCCAUGAACAGGUGAGCAAGCUGCAAAAGAGGAAACAAAUAAGUACAAACUUAUUAUACGAAGAGCACGGAGAUAAGAACACUUACGUUGCUAAUAUUCUGGCCCACUUCUUCAACAAAGCGAUCCAUCGGAUACCCA